AACGCUAGCGGCAGGCUUAACACAUGCAAGGUCGAGGGGCAGCACGGGUAGCAAUACCUGGUGGCGACCGGCGCAAGGGUGCGUAACGCGUGAGCAACAUGCCCUAUACAGGGGGAUAAUCCAGGGAAACUUGGUCUAAUAUCCCAUAGCAUUUAGAGGUGGCAUCACCAUUAAAUUAAAGCUUCGGUGGUAUAGGAUUGGCUCGCGUGACAUUAGCUAGAUGGUGGGGUAACGGCUCACCAUGGCUAUGAUGUCUAGGGGUUCUGAGAGGAAGACCCCCCACACUGGGACUGAGACACGGCCCAGACUCCUACGGGAGGCAGCAGUGAGGAAUAUUGGACAAUGGAUGGAAAUCUGAUCCAGCCAUGCCGCGUGCAGGAAGACGGCCCUAUGGGUUGUAAACUGCUUUUAUAUGGGAGCAAUAAGGUCUACGAGUAGACCGAUGAGAGUACCAUAUGAAUAAGCAUCGGCUAACUCCGUG
rnacentral:rRNA from 1 species